GAGCUGGCCUGGGACUGGGCCUUCGCUGUGCCUCAGUUUCCGCUCCCGCCGACCGACCGACCGAGGGAGGGGGGGGGGGGGGGGGGGGGGCGUCGGGAGCCUGGGGCUGAACACCUGCUGGGCCUUGCGGUCCACUGCCCCAGAGCCACACCCAGUGGUCCCGUCAGCCCAGGAUCUCCUUCAGUCCCAGGCACAUCCAGAGGAUCACCCACCCUCUGGGGCUUCCAGGGGCCCAAACUUUAACUUCUAGGGAAUUAGCUAAAGCCACUACUGUUGACUGGAGUGGAUAGUUGGCUUGACUUGGCUGUAUGAGGUGGUGAAGACAGGAAGGCGGUCAAUGCCAAGAAAGAUGGAUUUUUAGGAAAGUUUUAGAGAAAAGAAAAACUGUACGUGAAGAUGAACAUUUAAAAGAGAAGAAGGAACGCCUGGGUGGCUCAGCGGUUGAGCGUCUGCCUUGGGCUCUGGGCGUGAUCGCGGGGAUUCCGGGUUCGAGUCCCACUUCAGGCUCCUUCCAUGGAGCCUGCUUCUCCCUCUGCCUAUGUCUCUGCCUCUCUCUCUCUCUCUCUCUCUCUCACUCGCUCUCUCUCUGUCUCUCAUGAGUGAAUAAAUAAAAUCUUAAAAAAAAAAACAGAGAGAGAGGGAAGCGAAGCAUUCAUUAUGAGAAUGGCUGGACACAUUUUGAUAAGAGGAUUGAAACUUGUACCACCCAACAUCAUACUGAAACCCAGUAAUUCAGAAUAUGCUCCUGGCAAGUUGCCAUCCUGUUAACAGAAAAUGUUGUGCCCUGCCACCUGGCCAGCUUCACCACCCUGUUGGGAAUGGGGUUCAAAUAAGAUUUGUGAAACUGAGAAGCUGUGUUUCACUUAGGGGAAAUUAGAAGCUGAGAUGCGCAUUUGGCUGCCAAUUUUAAAUAAGAGAAAACAGAAUAGCCCUACCUAUGGAAAUUUUGCAUAUUGCUCACCAGCAAAAUCAAAUCUGUUUGUUAGAUGAUCACUGAAGACCUGGAAGAAAUGAACAUGAUUUUUCCCGCUUAAUGGAUAAUGCUAAAUGAUGUUUCUGUAUUAAUAUCCCACUGGUAAAGCUGCCACAAGACCUCAACAUUCUUAGAUUCAAAAAAUAUUGCAUCCUUGGAUUCUUUGUUUACACCACUGUUCAAAACCAAUCAUAAGUGGCCUGGUCUCAAAAUGGGAGACUGAAGUUCAAUGAUAAAGCAUAACUGACCUAUGCUGAUUUGCACUGCAUUUCCCAGAAUUUUCUUCCCUGUUUGUGAUUUGAGGAGGCAAUCUUCGCCACCAGAAUAUUAUAAGAUUUAGAUUUGUACAACCCUAAACUAAAUUAGUUCAAGGGCAAUUGAAUCAUCUCUCUAAUCCCAGUGUCAAACACUGUUCCAGGACACAUAAUAGGGGCUCAGCUAAUAUUUGAUAUUUGCAUAAAUAGGUCCUUUUGCUCCCAUUGGACCAGGUCAGAACAUUUGACUAAACUCUAGUGUGAGCAAUUUAUGUAUAGAAAUCAUAAGCCUUGGAAAAAAGAAAAAUUAAAAAAAAAUGUUAUCUGAGAAAAGCAGUAAUUGGUCAGGAGUAUGAUUCUACCUGUGAUUUCACAUAACUAUUAAUCAAAGAAUAGUUAACUAUAAAAUUUAUGACUACUUAAAGGGUUGGUCAAUCCUACCAUGCCAAACAGGAAGUCCUAGUGAGUAGGAAUAGUGCAAGUCCCAUUGCUGGAUCCUAUCAUGAUAGGACAUAUAUUGGUACCUGAACUUUCAAACAAAUUAUAUUAUACCUAUACUGUCUCCCAAUUAUAAGUUGUCUUCUUCCAUCUCAUGUCAUUAUGUUUGAUAAUUAAAAGCUGGUCUUUCCUUUAGAUUUGUCACCAUACUACUAUAUGUUCUUUGAAAUGCAUUUUUACUCAGGGCACAAGGGUGG
rnacentral:lncRNA from 1 species